AUCGCCCUGCUCCUGUCGACAUCAUCCUCCUCCUGUCAGCUGAAUGGCAUUGAAGGUGACAGUAUUCGUCACAUGAAGGACCUGCGCCAGGGUGAUCCUCUACCCCUUCUUUUCAUCCUCGCAAUCGACCCGCUUCAGAGACUGUUUGAGGCCGCGACGGCGGCUGGCGAGCUGCAGCUGCUCCCUGCCCGGGCUGCUCGACUGCGCGUCAGUCUGUACGCCGAUGAUGCGGUGGUUUUCGCCAACCCGCAGCGCGAGGAGGUCGACAAGAUCCUAGGGCUACUGCAGGGUUUUGGAAACGCUACCGGCCUGCACAUCAACCCAGCAAAAUCCGCAGUGGCUCCAAUACGAUGCGACGGAAUCGAUCCUCAGCAGGUUCUGCAAAAUUUCGGAGGGCAGAUGGUCGGCUUCCCCAUUACAUAUCUAGGCAUUCCAAUUACCCUUGGGAGAAUUAGACUAGUGCACAUCCAGUACAUCCUGGAUAGAAUUAGGGCCAGGCUGGCAGGUUGGAAGGGUCGGCUGCUACCGAUUGCGGGCCGGCGAGUGCUUGUCAGGAGCGUGCUCUCAGCGCUCCCUGCGUUUGCACUCGCUGUGUUGCGCGUGCCGUGAAGAUUUCUCAAGGACAUCGACAAGACGCGGAGAAGAUUUCUUUAGGCGCAUGACGAGGAGAUGUCAGGAGGAAAGUGCAAGGUUCGAUGGCCAGUCGUCGCCUCGCCGGUGAACCGCGGUGGUCUAGGCAUCCCUGACCUUGAGCGGUUCGCGCGUGCGCUCAGGCUGCGCUGGCUUUGGCUGGCCUGGAGGCAUCCGAACAGGCCAUGGGUGGGGCUUGGCACGCCGUGCGACGAGAGGGAUCAAGCUCUCUUUGCCUCGGCCACCUUGGUCACCGUCCGAAGCGACGCAACGGCCUCUUUCUAGCGAUGCCACUGGCUGGGAGAGCGGCCUCUCUGUCUCACAUAUCCGGACCUGUUUAAACACUCCUCCCGGAAGAACAGGACGGUCAGGGAUGCUCUUCAAGGGGAGAAGUGGAUUCAAGACCUGCGGCACGGCAACCUCACCGAAAUCCUGCCUCAGUUUGUGCACUUGCAGCGCGCGAUCCGGCUGGCUGGGAUUAUAUUGGAUGAUGGAGCACCGGACGAGAUCAAAUGGACAGCAGGUGGAGGAGCAGAGUACUCAGCGAGCUCGGCCUACGACCUACAGUUUGUUGAUCACCCUGCGACGAACCUCCAGGCGAUCGUUUGGAAAGCCUGGCCGGGGAAGAUGAAAUUCUUCAGCUGGCUGCUGCACCAUGAUCGCCUUUGGUGCAAUGAUAGGUUGCAGCGCCGGGGCUGGGUAAACGGCUAUUUUUGCGCCCUCUGCAACAGAAAUCUUGAGUCCUCCGUCCACCUCUUCUGGGAAUGUUCGUUUUCGAGAGCAGUAUGGAGUCAGGUGGCAGCAUGGAGUGGCUGCGCUGCGCUGAACCCAAGCAGCCAGACACGCGGCCGUGCGACCACGCAAAUCGUCCAAGACUUGCUCGCCGGGGCAACGCCAAGGACAAUGAAAGGGCUGAGGUCGAUCAUCAUCAUCACAACCUGGUUCAUCUGGCUGGCGAGAAAUGAGUGCACCUUCAGAGGAACCCAGCCAUGCACACGCAGAGUGAUCAGCCAAAUCCGGAGUAAGCUGGAGCAAUGGCGUUUGGCAGGAGCAACCUGCUUAGUGACCCCUUUCGGGGAUCAAACCGUGAGAGUGUAG
rnacentral:rRNA from 1 species